rnacentral:lncRNA from 1 species
GUCUGCGUACACACUACCCUCCCUAGACCCCACUAAGUGGGAUUAUACUGGGUUGUGUUGUUGUUGUUACUUGAGAUUUUGCUACAAAGUGGGAUAGACAAUCAAGUAAUUCAUAUCCUUCUUAUAACCAGUUCAUUUUGGGCUUUAAUUUUUGAAGUUGAAUUGUGGGUCAUGCAUUUAUUCAAAUUAGAGCUAAAUCUUUCAACUGAUGGAGCACUAUUUGUUAGAGGUUUAAAAGGCCACCUAUUGGACGUGUUGCUACCUAAUAGUCAGUUUUGUAAGAAAAGGUUUUACUUGUCAAAAAAGGGGGCGGGGUGUAUAAGAAGUGUUAACACAUGGUUUGAUGUUCUAAUAUUGAUCAAGACUUCAACAGAGGUUUAAAAGGCCACCUAUUGGACGUCCUGCUACCUAAUAAUCAGUUUUGUAAGAAAAGGUUUUACUUGUCAAAAAAGGGGGAGGGGUGUAUAAGAAUAGUGUUAACACAUGGUUUGAUGUUCUAAUAUUGAUCAAGGCUUCAAGGUACAGUGUUGUUCCAUGGUUCAUUCUACCCAUUAGUAUUUUCCUCAUACACCUAACCGUAAUUUGCUUGUAAAAGAUUAGUUCGUAUCCUAUUGGACAUGCUUGGGUACAUACUUGGCUUGUUCCCUUUCAGCUCCUUCCCUGUAGUUUAUAUCAUUAUUCCCAUUCUUCAUGUAUUUCGUGUUCCACAAUGUAUCUGGUACUAAUAUCAGAAGUUUUUUAACAGUCAUAUAUUAUGUACACGUAGCUUUCACGGUGCAAAUAAAACAGUGCAAAAAUAUAGACAUUAUUUUUAAAACUGUGUAUACUUCCUCUAUAAAAUGCUAUUGUAUUUCCCUCUUGGUGUUGUCCCAAAAUGUAUCCACUUUUUGAUGAAUGGCUUUCCUAGCUCCUGACAAUGUUCUUUACAUAUGAUAUCACCGAAACAUGGAUCCACUACCUCUCUUCUUGGAAUAGCAGCUUAUUCUUGCUUGCUUAGGCUCUUAUCUUUUGACCUAUCAAGAUAGAUAGGCUAUCUAUAGUAUAUGAAUAAGUGUAUAAGUUCAUCAACGAACUGUCUUUAUCUCCACUUCUAUUCACUAUUUUCACUUAGAAACCCUCUAUGUUUGUAUACGAUAAAAUUUUGGUCUUUUCCCUUGUCAAAUUUGUGCAGCUUAUUUGGGAAGAAGAUUGAUCUUUGAUAUAUAAAAUAUGGCUUACUCUUUCUUCAUUCGGGUUUCUGUUGUUCAGUAAUAGAUGUACAAUUAAUUGGACUGUUGCUUAGUAGUCAUAUUAAGAUUCAGCUCAUCUAUCUAGACGUCAAUUUUGCAAAUCAUAGACCAAAUGCCAGAAGUAAAAUAGAAUUGUUGAAAGGAAAAAUGGAAAGUUCGCAAAUAAAUAAACAUCUGAAACUUCUCUUGAAGGGCCAAAGCUUGUAAAUAUAGUAUUAGUCUUUCGGAUAAAUUCCUUGGGAAUUACAGAGUCUGAGAGGACUAGGUGAGCACAUUAUGAAAAUACCAUACAACUGAAAAUUGACAAACUUAAAAAUGUGGAAGUGGAGUAGCAUGGAAGAUGUAUAGGAGUAAAAGAACUUAAAAAAAAGAAGAAGAAGAUGAAAGUCAAAAUAGCAACAGCACUCAAACAUGUGAAGGAUUAGAGAUGCAAAAGCAUCAAGUGGCAGUUUAGGUUCUAUUUCAAAGGUUGCCCGCUAUUUUGAACCGCCAAGCUCAAAAUAAAAUCUGGGACAAUCUAGUUAUGCACGUUUUUUAUGUGAAGAAAAGUUUCUUUCUAAGUUUCUUGUACCCUCAAAUCGUCUUCAACUUUUUUGUUUUUGUUAUGUAUUUAUUUAUUUUGUUUUAUAUUUUAUUUGAGUCAAAAAGUGAGAAGAAAUUUGGUCUGAGUCAAAUUCAUAUUAGGAAAUGUCUCCAAAGUAUCCAAUUUGUGACAGUCCAACUUAAUCUGUCAUUAAGAUAUUUCUAAG